UUGAAAAUACAAACUUACCUUAAUUAAUCACUCUUGGCAGAAGAGUUUUAGAAUACAUGAAAUCCCAAAACACGUUCAGUAGGUGAUAACACGAGAUAUGACAAAGUCGACUAGGAUUCAUUUCAUAUCAUUUACGAUCUUUCUUUAUCGCAUUAAUAAAAAGGACCUACAUAUUACAUUCGAAAUAAUUUUUUCAAGUCAUCUCAUUUCUGUGUCAAACUGAAAUUGUGAUUCAUGUGCCGUAAUCAAUACAUGCGUCAGCGGAAAUUACUAUGAAAGCGCCCAUUAAUUACCCAUCGCAAUACAACGGACGUUACAUAUAUGGCCCUGCCGAGGGACGAGAGUAGAGGAAAAUUUCUGCGAAAUAACUAAUUGCUAAAAGCUCGCGCUGCUGGUGUCGAAAGCGAGAGCCACGUGGAGUGGGGGGUGACUAUAUACGCAUCGGAAUAGGGAAAUGACUGUUACUAAUUGUACAUGUGUUCGAUGUGCAUGAGUAUGUACCCGAUUUCCGAUGAAAUUAUACGAUUUUCAUGUGAAGCGCUACAAGUUGUUGACAAGUUUACAACAACCUGAUAAUAUUUACUUAUGCAGAAUGUCGAAAACAACGUUAUCGAACCGAAGAUAAGAGACCACUAAAUUUAGCACACACGGAUGAUCAAAUACUGUUAAAUUGAUCAAAACAAAAACGUUCAACUGCCUGCACUUGGCACGCCGUUUCCCAAGUUUUGAACUAAGCGAAAUCCUAUGGAGAACAUCCGCUGCGAAAACACUUAAAACAAUUAUUAAUUUUCCGAUGGUUCGACUGAUUAGAAAUAAACAUGAAUUGCAUUAUAAGUUAGGUGGAUAUUUGCAAGGACCGAUUUCGUUAUGUGCUGUUGACAUUUACCUUACUGGAACGUUCCUGAAAAAGCUGAGACGGAUCUCUAGAAGCCCUAAUUGUUCCAUCUCUUCAAUACCUGGACUUCCUGGAAGUAGUAUGCCACCAGCUACACAUUCCAAAAGGCGUCUCAGCGCUUCUCCUGGGCUCAGAGGUCCUCCAGCGGUACUGAUCACUUUUUCAGCCAGCAAUUCCAAUGCC